rnacentral:rRNA from 1 species
GACGAACGCUGGCGGCGUGCUUAACACAUGCAAGUCGAACGGAAAGGCCCCGCUUUUGUGGGGUGCUCGAGUGGCGAACGGGUGAGUAACACGUGAGUAACCUGCCCUUGACUUUGGGAUAACUUCAGGAAACUGGGGCUAAUACCGGAUAGGAGCUCCUGCUGCAUGGUGGGGGUUGGAAAGUUUCGGCGGUUGGGGAUGGACUCGCGGCUUAUCAGCUUGUUGGUGGGGUAGUGGCUUACCAAGGCUUUGACGGGUAGCCGGCCUGAGAGGGUGACCGGCCACAUUGGGACUGAGAUACGGCCCAGACUCCUACGGGAGGCAGCAGUGGGGAAUAUUGCACAAUGGGCGGAAGCCUGAUGCAGCAACGCCGCGUGCGGGAUGACGGCCUUCGGGUUGUAAACCGCUUUCGCCUGUGACGAAGCGUGAGUGACGGUAAUGGGUAAAGAAGCACCGGCUAACUACGU